GGCUAUCCUAACUAUAAGAUAAGGCUAGGGACUAAUGAAAGUAUUUAGAAAAUUGGGCAGACUAGAUGGGCCGAAUGGUUCUUAUCUGCCGUCACAUUCUAUGUUUCUAUGUUUCUAUAUGUUUUCUAUGUUUCUAUGUUUCUAUCAAGGUAUAGAAAGCAUUUGCCUAUCGUAACUGAAAGGAAUUUUAAAAAUGCAUUCACACAAAGUUAUUUUGUAGACUUGUCACAUAGCCAGAGGAAUAUACUGUUCCACCAAUGAGUAUAGUUAUGUAUAUCUGCGAAAAAGUGGUGUUUGUCAUUGAAUAUCUCAUAUAUAAACUUAUAAAAGCACGUGUAUGCUUAAGGUGUCGUGUUCCAUCCUCUGCAAUUCAUGCUGUCCCCGAUGGCAGUAAAAAGAUUAAACAGCAGUUUUUAUAUGGCAAAGGUAAGCACUAUGUAGCUGCUCAGAAGGAGUUAAAACAACUACAUGUCUUACAAAAAAAUCCGGUUUAGUUACUAAACUCCAUAUUGUAUGGAAUCCAAAUAUUUAGGCAAAAUAGCUGAUUUGGAAAAAAAAUCUUCAACAGCUUUAGUUACAGUUAGUUCUGCCUAAAUUUUACAUUUUGGAUUUUAAUUUGAUACAAUACGAAGUUUGGCAAAAAAAAAUAUGAAUUUGUUGUGUAAUAUGCGUGUUUACAUGCAGAUUCAUAUAACCGGGAUGAAGUCUGUAAAGCACAGAUCAGCCGUUAGCAGAAAAACCACCAAUGUUUAAGAUUCCCUUGAGAAGCUAAUCACUAAUUCAAUAAUCCCACAAUCUGCCUCCUGUUUAAUAAAACUAGGCUUUACUCUGUUGUGUAUUCAACUUGUGCAUUCUGUUUUAAAUGAAACGCGAUUCGUCUAAAUUCUGGGCAACCGGCAAAUCACCUGGGGCGAAAUAAUAUAACAAGAAACGAAUGAGCUGUUUCAUUUUUUUUUUGUUUUAGAAAUCUAUUCAUGGUGCCAGAAAAAAAGAUGAUUGAUAGUUAGAGGACAGCCACUA